AUUGAACGCUGGCGGAAGGCCUAACACAUGCAAGUCGAGCGGGGGCUUCGGUCCUAGCGGCGAACGGGUGAGGAAUGCUUGGGAAUCUGCCCAGUAGCGGGGGAUAACGUUUCGAAAGGAACGCUAAUACCGCAUACGACAUACGGGGGAAAGGGAGGGAUCUACGGACCUCUCACUACUGGAUGAGCACACGUCGGAUUAGCUAGUUGGUGGGGUAAAGGCCUACCAAGGCGACGAUCCGUAGCUGGUCUGAGAGGAUGAUCAGCCACACUGGAACUGAGACACGGUCCAGACUCCUACGGGAGGCAGCAGUGGGGAAUAUUGGACAAUGGGCGAAAGCCUGAUCCAGCCAUGCCGCGUGUGUGAAGAAGGCCUUCGGGUUGUAAAGCACUUUAAGCGAGGAGGAAUGGCUGAGGGUUAAUAACCUUCAGCAGUGACGUUACUCGCAGAAUAAGCACCGGCUAACUCUGUGCCAGCCGCCGCAGUAAGAC
rnacentral:rRNA from 1 species